AGCGUCCGUAGCCGGCCGAACGGGUCCGUCGGGAAAUCCACCCGCUUAACGGGUGGGCGUCCGGCGGAAACCAGUCGGCUUGGGGCCGGGAGACCAGAGGGGUACGUCCGGGGUAGGAGUGAAAUCCUGUAAUCCUGGACGGACCACCGGUUGCGAAAGCGCCUCUGGAGAACGGACCCGACGGUGAGGGACGAAAGCUAGGGUCUCGAACCGGAUUAGAUACCCGGGUAGUCCUAGCCGUAAACGAUGCUCGCUAGGUGUGACGCAGGCUACGAGCCUGCGUUGCGCCGUAGGGAAGCCGAGAAGCGAGCCGCCUGGGAAGUACGUCCGCAAGGAUGAAACUUAAAGGAAUUGGCGGGGGAGCACUACAACCGGAGGAGCCUGCGGUUUAAUUGGACUCAACGCCGGACAUCUCACCGGCACCGACGACGUGCAGUGACGGUCAGUUUGAUGAGCUUACCUGAGCCGUUGAGAGGAGGUGCAUGGCCGCCGUCAGCUCGUACCGUGAGGCGUCCUGUUAAGUCAGGCAACGAGCGAGACCCGCGUCCAUAAUUGCCAGCAGCACCCUUGUGGUGGCUGGGUACAUUAUGGAGACUGCCGUCGCUAAGACGGAGGAAGGAACGGGCAACGGUAGGUCAGUAUGCCCCGAAUGUGCCGGGCGACACGCGGGCUACAAUGGCCAGGACAGUGGGACGCUACCCCGAGAGGGGACGCUAAUCUCCUAACCCUGGUCGUAGUUCGGAUUGCGGAUUGAAACUCAUCCGCAUGAAGCUGGAUUCGGUAGU
rnacentral:rRNA from 1 species